AUGAAAUUUCUUAUUCUGACAAAAGGAUACAAAUAAUUUGUUUGCUUUUGUGGGGAUAAGACCCUAUCAUGGUUAUAAUGGAAUUCGGUGUAUCCAUCUUCCAAAUGAUGAGUAGCAAUAUUUAUCAUAUGAUUUCGCACCGAUAACCAUUAUUUGUUUUCAUUCAUCUCAUUUGCCAUGUAGUUUUCGUUUGUGCCUCAUCCCGUUAAGCAUAAACAACCGAACAUGAUGGCGUGCCCAGUCCUAGUGACUGGGCUUUUUUGUUG
rnacentral:sRNA from 1 species